rnacentral:rRNA from 1 species
AUUGAACGCUGGCGGCAGGCUUAAAACAUGCAAGUCGAACGAGUGGCGGACGGGUGAGUAAUGCUUGGGAAUCUAGCUUAUGGAGGGGGAUAACUACGGGAAACGGUGGCUAAUACCGCGUACCAUAGGAUGAGCCCAAUUGGGAUUAGGUAGUGGGUGGGGUAAAGGCUCACCAAGGCGACGAUCUCUAGCGGGUCUGAGGGGAUGAACAGCCACACUGGGACUGAGACACGGCCCAGCCUCCUACGGGAGGCAGCAGUGGGGAAUAUUGCACAAUGGGGGCAACCUGACGCAGCCAUGCCGCGGGAAUGAAGAAGGCCUUAGGGUUGUAAAGUCCUUUCGGUGGUGAGGCGUUACCCACAGAAGAAGCACCGGCUAACUCCGUGCCAGCAGCCGCGGUAAUUC